UCUACCCAACACAUUCUCUAACAACACCAGCAGCCCAAUAACAAUGAGUCGCCCCGGACCAACUCCAAAUAAACCAGCCCACACUCCUUUCUCUUCACCUUAACAAGAUCGGGUACAACACAAAACAACAACAACCAAAAACCCAGCAACAGCAACAGUACAUCAACACCCGAUUUCAGCAAAAUCCGACAUCACCAACAAUUCCGACCUGGCAAUGACCCGAUAUCCAUGAGCAGCAAUCCAAUAACCGCGAUAACAACAGAAAACAGCAACAACGCGCAAUACAGUCAGCAAAAACUGACAAAACAAUGGCAAAACCCAACUACGUCCAGCUUCGACCCGACGUUAGCUCUCAAUCCGUUUGAACUUUUCAAAUUUGAAAUUCAAAUUCGAAUGGAAUUGUACCAUUACAGCUCACAACCUUAUCCUUAGUGAAAUCCCCAAAACACCCUUAAAAAUUCUUCAAUCCCACAUCAAUUCUUUCUCAAAAUUGAGCCCAGAUCCCUUGUUAUAUAUAUUGCUACUGUUUUCAUUAAAAAGGGGAACUAUUGAUGAGAGUUUGGAUAGCGAGAACUCCAAAAAAACAUGGAAUUUUACUAUUCGAAGAAGGAUUUCGGUGCCACAAAAUUUGAUAAGACUCCUUUAGGCUAAGAAUCCAAGUUUAUUUCGGUGAUGGUCGAGAAUCCGACGAGGCUCGAAGUCCCCAUUUGGUGCUCUGGAAAAAAGGUGUAGAUCGAUCAAUCUCUAAGAAAAUUCAAGAUCAGAUGAAUACGCCAAAAAUUUGGUGAAAAGAUAUGAAGUGCGAAAGUCAAAAAAAUCCUCAAGAAGCAUGUAGGAUAUUUAUCUACCCUAAUCGCUAUGAAAGCCACAAUUAUGCAAAAAUUUACUUGAUCACAAAUAGAUAUCGCAUGUGACAGAGGUGGACAAAGCCAAGAAGGCGAAGACCGACGAAGGAUCGUCUAGAUUCUAGUAUUUUCUGUUUUAUCCCUUGCACGGGAUUGUUUUUUUCUUCAUGUUAUUUUUCCUUUCCCAAAAGUUGUACCCCUCAUUUUCUACUUUGUAGGCAUUUAUGAGUGUUUUUAUUUUAUCCCCUGCGUGGAAUUAUUUUUCUCGCAUUUUAUUUUUCAAUCAUUGUAUUCCUCGCUUUCUAUGUUGUACGCAUUUAUAUCCUCUUGGAUAUUAUAUUUAUGAAAGUGAUUUUCUGGGA